ACCCGCUGAACUUAAGCAUAUCAAUAAGCGGAGGAAAAGAAACCAACAGGGAUUGCCCUAGUAACGGCGAGUGAAGCGGCAACAGCUCAAAUUUGAAAUCUGGCGUCUUUGGCGUCCGAGUUGUAAUUUGCAGAGGGCGCUUUGGCAUUGGCAGCGGUCCAAGUUCCUUGGAACAGGACGUCACAGAGGGCGAGAAUCACGUACGUGGUCGCUAGCCUUUACCGUGUAAAGCCCCUUCGACGAGUCGAGUUGUUUGGGAAUGCAGCUCUAAAUGGGAGGUAAAUUUCUUCUAAAGCUAAAUACUGGCCAGAGACCGAUAGCGCACAAGUAGAGUGAUCGAAAGAUGAAAAGCACUUUGGAAAGAGAGUUAAAAAGCACGUGAAAUUGUUGAAAGGGAAGCGCUUGCAGCCAGACUUGCCUGUAGUUGCUCAUCCGGGUUUUUACCCGGUGCACUCUUCUAUAGGCAGGCCAGCAUCAGUUUGGGCGGUUGGAUAAAGGUCUCUGUCAUGUACCUCUCUUCGGGGAGAACUUAUAGGGGAGACGACAUGCAACCAGCCCGGACUGAGGUCCGCGCAUCUGCUAGGAUGCUGGCGUAAUGGCUGU
rnacentral:rRNA from 1 species